rnacentral:rRNA from 1 species
AUUUAUGAAUCUGCCUANUAGUGGGGGAUAGCUCGGGGAAACUCNCAUUAAUACCGCANACAACCUACNGGUGAAAGGGGGCGCAAGCUCUUGCUAUUANAUGAGCCUAAAUCAGAUUAGCUAGUUGGUGGGGUAAAGGCCCACCANGGCACCAUCUGUAACUGGUCUGAGAGGAUGAUCAUCACACCGAACUGAGACACGUCCGGACUCCUACGGAANGCAGCAGUGGGGAAUAUUGGACAAUGGGGGCAACCCUGAUCCAGCCNUGCCGCGUGUGUGAANAAGGCCUUUUGGUUGUAAAGCACUUU